rnacentral:ncRNA from 2 species
UGAUACCCCACUGGAGAGAGAAGCCCUGCACACAUGCGCAGAACUUCCACCGAAGGAGCAACCUGCCACGGCAGCGAAUCUCUCAGGUAAAGCGGACAGCGGGGGCAGC